UACGGAGGGUGCGAGCGUUGUUCGGAAUCAUUGGGCGUAAAGCGCGUGUAGGCGGCUCGAUAAGUCUGCUGUGAAAGUCCAGGGCUCAACCCUGGGAUGCCGGUGGAUACUGUCGAGCUCGAGUCCGGAAGAGGCGAGUGGAAUUCCUGGUGUAGCGGUGAAAUGCGCAGAUAUCAGGAGGAACACCAAUGGCGAAGGCAGCUCGCUGGGACGUGACUGACGCUGAGACGCGAAAGCGUGGGGAGCAAACAGG
rnacentral:rRNA from 1 species